CCAGUCACAGUCAAUAUCGUCAACGAGUUGUGCUUGAGGCACGAUCGAACCUUCUCCUGCCUGGUUUGCGGCCUCUUAUUCGGCUCCUGGGGAUAAUACGACGUUCGUUCGGUAAUUUUGCAUUGUGUGUCCGAUCCUGACAACGGUGACCUAAAAAUAAUAACACAUAGACAUAUAUAUAUAUAUAUAUAUAUAUAUAUGUGUGUGUAGAAAAAAAAGGACGAUAUUUUAAGAGAGAAAUAUUUUUCUAAUUUUAAAAGUAUUUAUUUACUAUAUAUAUAAAGGAGGAUUGAAUAAAGGAUGAAUUGCAAAUGAAGCGGUUGUCACGGACACGUGAUGUUUAGCAUAGCAUGUUGGAUGCACGAGGUCUCACGAUGCAAGUAAAUUAUCAAUGGAAAAAAAGGAAAAAUUCUCAGACGAGAAGCUACCUAGAAAGGAGAUGAUUCGCUUUUUCAAGGGGUUAAUUACGAGAGUUAAUCCCUUAACGAGUUUGAUAAUUUGGUCAGUUUGACUAGUUUAUGACAAUCGGCUAAGAGACUUGGAUGUUAGAAAGAAAAAAAAAA